rnacentral:rRNA from 1 species
UACGUAGGGGGCUAGCGUUGUCCGGAAUCAUUGGGCGUAAAGAGCGCGUAGGCGGCUAGAUAAGUCCGGUGUGAAAGUCACAGGCUCAACCUGUGAAUGCCGCUGGAAACUGUCUGGCUAGAGUCCGGAAGGGGCGAGUGGAAUUCCUGGUGUAGCGGUGAAAUGCGCAGAUAUCAGGAGGAACACCAAUGGCGAAGGCAGCUCGCUGGGACGUUACUGACGCUGAGACGCGAAAGCGUGGGGAGCAAACAGG